CGAAGCAACGCGAAGAACCUUACCAAAUCUUGACAUCCUUUGACAACUCUAGAGAUAGAGCCUUCCCCUUCGGGGGACAAAGUGACAGGUGGUGCAUGGUUGUCGUCAGCUCGUGUCGUGAGAUGUUGGGUUAAGUCCCGCAACGAGCGCAACCCUUAAGCUUAGUUGCCAUCAUUAAGUUGGGCACUCUAAGUUGACUGCCGGUGACAAACCGGAGGAAGGUGGGGAUGACGUCAAAUCAUCAUGCCCCUUAUGAUUUGGGCUACACACGUGC
rnacentral:rRNA from 1 species